UACGUAGGGUGCGAGCGUUAAUCGGAAUUACUGGGCGUAAAGGGCUCGUAGGCGGCCAACUAAGUCAGACGUGAAAUCCCUCAGCUUAACUGGGGAACUGCGUCUGAUACUGGAUGGCUUGGAUUCGGGAGAGGAAUGCGGAAUUCCAGGUGUAGCGGUGAAAUGCGUAGAUAUCUGGAGGAACACCGGUGGCGAAGGCGGCAUUCUGGACCGACAUUGACGCUGAGGAGCGAAAGCCAGGGGAGCAAACGGG
rnacentral:rRNA from 1 species